rnacentral:rRNA from 1 species
UACGUAGGUGGCAAGCGUUGUCCGGAAUUAUUGGGCGUAAAGCGCGCGCAGGCGGCCUUUUAAGUCUGAUGUGAAAUCUUGCGGCUCAACCGCAAGCGGUCAUUGGAAACUGGAGGGCUUGAGUACAGAAGAGGAGAGUGGAAUUCCACGUGUAGCGGUGAAAUGCGUAGAUAUCUGGAGGAAUACCGGUGGCGAAGGCGGCAUCCUGGACCGGCAUUGACGCUGAGGAGCGAAAGCCAGGGGAGCAAACGGG